UACGAAGGUCCCAAGCGUUGUUCGGAUUUACUGGGCGUAAAGCGUGCGUAGGCGGUAAGGUAAGUCAGAUGUGAAAUCCCGGGGCUCAACCCCGGAACUGCAUCCGAUACUGCUUUGCUAGAGUAAUGGAGGGGCAUCUGGAAUUCAUGGUGUAGCAGUGAAAUGCGUAGAUAUCAUGAGGAACACUAGUGGCGAAGGCG
rnacentral:rRNA from 1 species